AAUAAUCCUGAAAAAUCCAUUCACUGUCAUUUCGAUUACAACUCCCUCCUCCAAUUCACUUAUGCUCAACUCCUCUCACUCCCACUCAUCUUUUCAACUUAAAAACUUCAAUGCUACGAUUUUCAUAAAUUUACUCCCUCGAUACUCUUCCAGUGUGCUAUAUCUCUCUAUAUAUUUUGUCAACAUAAGAGGACACCAUUACAGGUUGAAGGUUGGAAGCUUCAACAAUGAUGACAGCUGACUGUUGAUUAUGCAUAGGAGAGAAAAGACAUCACUAUCCUAUUUGAGGACGCCAUUGAUGGUUGUAGGUAGAAGAUGAACAAAUAUGCAAAGAAGAAAGAAGAGAAAAUUACAGGGUUGUAAUUAAGGAGAAUGACGUGAAUGUCACUGUAUUUUGGGGAUUUUUUUUUUAAGUUAAUUUUUUUUUUUUUUUUGAAAUUAUUAAUUAGGUAUAAAAUAUAAUAAGACAUCAUAAUCCGAUCGUUUUUGCCGGAAUAUGAAUUCGGGUUGUAAUUUAAAGUACAGGAUUAAGUUUGAGGUUGUAAUUCGCAAAACUGAAAGUUUAAGGUUGUAAUUCACAAAGUGUACACUUUAUUGGGUUGUAAUUGACAAAUUUUCCUAUUUUUAUACUAACUUUUAGUGAAUUUGGUUGUA